AUAUUGGAAGUAUUGCCCUUAUUUCCCUGCACCAUUUGAACCCACAAUUUUGGAGAGAUCUCUUACAGUCUCACCAGGACACUGUGGGUGGAGUUUCCUGUUAAGUGAAUGACAGAGCUCAGAUAUGAUGGGUGCUCAGUGAUUCUGGUGGAACAUACUGACUAUGACAACAAAAUUUGUCUGGACCCAAGACUCUACAAGCUCCACAGGGCAAGGGGUCAUGAAGAGACAACUGGGAGCUCUGCUGGGGCUUCUGUGGGUCCAGGUUUUCUGGGUGAGAGCGCUAAAGGUGGAACAGAGUCCUUCAGCCCUGAGCCUCCAGAAGGGAACCAGCUCUACUCUGAGGUGCAAUUUUUCUGCCACUGUGAACCGUGUGCAGUGGUUCAGACAGAAUCCUGGGAGCGGCCUCAUCAAUCUACUUUUCUUGACUUCAGUAACGAAGCAGAAUGGAAGAUUAAACUCCACAAUAAAUACUAAGGAACUGUAUAGUAAUCUACAUAUCACGGACUCCCGACUGGAAGACUCAGCCACCUACCUCUGUGCAGUGAGGCACAGUGCUCCCAGGUGAUCUGCAGCCUGUACCCAAACUGCAGCUGGGCCUGCAGCCCCACCCCUUCCAUGGGGUGCUCAUGUUGCCCCAACAGCAGCCUUUGCACAUCUAUGGGUUUU